GGGGCUGUACCGGUUUCGACGGGGGUGUGGAGGCGGGAAUAGCGGGCGGAGGCGUCGCCCUCCUAAAAACGGCAUCUUUAUAAAUUAAAGAACAACAGAAAUUCUUUACCGGUAGCCGCUUAAGGCUGCCCGUCCUCGCCGGAAGGUCCACGAGCCGGAUGAGGGCGUGACUUAGUGGAGCCCGUGUGUGCAUUAAGCUUUGCGUGCACCAUGAACAAUGAAGCUACCAAACCAUAACGCGUGACGGCUUGCGUUUUGGGGCGGAAACCGGACUUGGCUUGAGGCCAGGCCCGCAAUAACCGUCUGCGCCCGGAGAAGUUCGCGUCAAAGCGCUUUCGGACGGGGGUUCAACUCCCCCCAGCUCCACCA
rnacentral:tmRNA from 1 species